rnacentral:rRNA from 1 species
CAGCCGCCACGGUAAUACGUAGGUGGCAAGCGUUGUCCGGAAUUAUUGGGCGUAAAGGGCUCGCAGGCGGUUUCUUAAGUCUGAUGUGAAAGCCCCCGGCUCAACCGGGGAGGGUCAUUGGAAACUGGGAAACUUGAGUGCAGAAGAGGAGAGUGGAAUUCCACGUGUAGCGGUGAAAUGCGUAGAUAUCAGUCGGAACACCCAUGGCGAAGGCAGCUGCCUGGCCUAAUACUGACGCUGAGGUGCGAAAGCGUGGGGAGCGAACGGGAUUAGAUACCCCUGUAGUCCCUGUCUCUUAUAC